rnacentral:lncRNA from 1 species
ACAAUAGAGGAAGAAAGAAGGGGGGUAUGGGAGGAAGAAGGGGGGUAAAGAGGAAGAGGGGUGGUGGUGUUGUAAUUCCCCAGUGAGAGAGAAAGGGGGGGGGGGGUGCUUGCAUCGCUUGCCACCAAAAUCAAGUCAACCUUCACAACACAGUAAGCUGCCACCAUCUAGUCUUUAGUAAGAGCGCUAGAUUCUCUUCUCUUUACAACUUGAUGUUGUAAAGAGAUUAAUACCAGACCUGUUGGAUCACACAAUAAACGAUAUUUAAAUGACUUAAUUAUUCACAAAUCACAGCCUUCUCAUUGGCUCAUUUCGCACCUCUUGAAUUCAACACAACGCACUAAUGGUCAACCUUUGACCUGAACCCUGGGCUCUCGUAAACAUUCGCGCUAGAUUCAACUCGUGCCACGAGCAGCCUGGCUCAUCUCCACACUGUUCCACACUUCAAGUAGCUUGUAUUUCUUCAUUUAGACAUCAUCAAGCCUGCCGCACUGUGAACAGGGGCGUCGAGAUAAUCCAUCGGCAUUAGAAUGAAUUCGACCUGCUCUGUGCACUAAGGGAUUGGUUCCACAUUGCUUUCCAUGCUACGAACAUGACGAGCUGGUCGAGUACGUUCACGAGCCUUCUCAGCCUUGCCGAAAGACUCAGUUGCCAAUCCUGCUCGGAUAGCAUCAUCAAGCGUUAUUGCAUGGGCGCGGAAAAUUCCUGCUCGAACUUCUACAUCCUCGAUAGCAUCAGAAAAGUGCCCUCGUGCAAGCCUCUCUCGUGCAUCUCUGCUUAACUCCGGGUAUGCCAGACAAGUUAAAUCUCUGAUUGCCUGACCUAGCUCCUGUAAGCUCUCCUUUGGUUGACGACGCCUCGUCCUCAAUUCCAAUAAGAAAUUCUCAGCAUCCUCUCCUGGACCAAAUCUACGCUCCAAAUGUGACGCAAGUUCAGAAUAAGUAAGCUCACGACCAAUGGGAAUAUUGUUCAACACUUUCAGUGCUGCUCCUUGAAGUCUUGUGGCUAGAAAUUGUCCAGCCUCCACAUCAUUCCAUCUAUUUAGCUUCAUGCAGACAUCAAAAUGUCGGCGAUAAUCUGUCCAUGGAAUUCUGCCUGCAAACUUGUCUGGAAGAACAUCUCUCAUUCCAGAGUUUGAACCUCUUCGUCUCCUAGAGUCGGUGGAUUGGUUACUCGCAACAUAAAGCGGAUGAUUCUGGAAGUCAGUAGGUGUUAACACCUGGCGCCUCUCUCCAGGUAUAGCAUCUCCAAAGCCUGACAUCUCAACAGCGAUUUCCGGAUCUCGCUCGUCUAUUGCCCAGCGUCUUUGGACUUCUUUCUCAUCAUUGCCAGAGUCACCGGCUGCCAUUUCUCCAGGUUGCUCACUAACAGGAGCAUCCAUCUCAAUCUCGUAAAUCCCUAUUUGAUUAAUUUUGAGUAACCAAACAAAAAUAUCUGUCACCUUGUACCUUUACAAUGUAAAAGGAGUAGAGCUCCUUCUUAAUAUUUAUUCACAUUGAAUAUUCAUUGUGCAUGUUAAGUAGAGUACACUAACUAAAUCUUAACUAAGUAACUAUAGGUACACUAUUACUCUUAACUAAGCCUUGCUUAAUAUAGCUUGGUAUGCACUUCUGGAUGACUAUUGAUUCUGAACUCGAGUCCUUUAUUUCACAGUAACGGCAGUACUCCUUUGACUGCCUUACUCGAAUACAAACUAAACUAUCGGCUCAACAGAUCCUUGCUGUCUCUUGCUUAAGCUUUAGUCUUGACCCACUCGAUUCAGACCUCAAUACCAAUUCUGCUAACUCAUAACCACUUAAGCACAAUCUACAUAAUUACAUGUAUGCCGUGCACUGCACACAGUAAAAGUCAGCUCAUGGAAUAGAUUCAAGCAAAAGUAAGUCAGUGAUCAGCUCUUCUCUUCAACCAGAGCCUUGCUCACGAGUGUCCGGCAUCAAUAACCCUCAGUGGAUUUGUCGCCAUCAACAUCAAGCCAUAGCAUAACCAUACUUAAUAUACAGUAACCCUACAUGUAAGUUAAUAACGUACUUAGUCUGGUUCACAUUAGCUACUUAAUGCUUAAGUUUAUCUGUCAUGUCUAAAACAUCGUAAACAACUUGCUGGUACUUUUACUUGCCAAUUCACCUCAAAAAUUCACUGGAGGAAUACUCAUCUCCAAUUAUUUGCAAGUACAAAAUUUCUCAAGAAAAUGCGCCAUUUUGUUCGAACGAAAUCAUCCCACCGCUGCCACCAAAUGUGACGGAAUAGGGGGGGGGGGGGUGGUUAAUAGAUAAUACAAUAGAGGAAGAAAGAAGGGGGUAUGGGAGGAAGAAGGGGGGUAAAGAGGAAGAGGGGUGGUGGUGUUGUAAUUCCCCAGUGAGAGAGAAAGGGGGGGGGGGUGCUUGCAUCGCUUGCCACCAAAAUCAAGUCAACCUUCACAACACAGUAAGCUGCCACCAUCUAGUCUUUAGUAAGAGCGCUAGAUUCUCUUCUCUUUACAACUUGAUGUUGUAAAGAGAUUAAUACCAGACCUGUUGGAUCACACAAUAAACGAUAUUUAAAUGACUUAAUUAUUCACAAAUCACAGCCUUCUCAUUGGCUCAUUUCGCACCUCUUGAAUUCAACACAACGCACUAAUGGUCAACCUUUGACCUGAACCCUGGGCUCUCGUAAACAUUCGCGCUAGAUUCAACUCGUGCCACGAGCAGCCUGGCUCAUCUCCACACUGUUCCACACUUCAAGUAGCUUGUAUUUCUUCAUUUAGGUGAGUUAAAGCAUCAUCAUAAGAUCUGAAUAAUUCUGUCAGUACUCUGUAAGCAUGAUUUAAUCCUAAUAUUUGUAUCAGACUUGUACAGCUCAGAUUCUCUAACGUUCUGCACAACACACUGCAAACAUGUGACAGGGCACACUGGGUGUCCUGUACACGCAGUUAAAACACACACAUUAUUCACACUCGUAUCUUGGGGCACUUUCUCUCACGUCCUCUAUCCCAAUCCUCCCAUAAGGUAGCGAGCAAUCUAAAGGCACAAUGACAUGGAUAAGUGUCUGAAUAGAACCAGACAAUGAUUUCGUUCUUCAAGUUCUCAAUCGCGCUAUCUAAAGAAGAUGUAAAAGUACCAAUCACCAUUCACACUUAACUAACUACUGUAACUAAUGUGUAACCAGACAUGUAUUACUGUAACUUGUAAGAAUGAAUCUGUCAGCCUAAUUGUUCAGGUGAACAAAUAACAAGUAACACUUUAUUAAUGGAUUUCAAUUAACAGUGAGGCUUUCAUGCCUAAUUCAACGUUGACGUAAUUCAACUCGAAAAUGUAUGCAAUGCAAUUACUAAGUAUAAGAGUUCAAAUGUACAUUAUAUACAGAUGUGUUGUCACUUUUGUCAGACAACCAAUCAUUUACCUAAGUGAUACUAACUUAAUUGUAUAGACUAUAAUAGUAGAUGCAGUAUUAUGUUAAAGAGUUCUAUAGGGACAGGUUUAAGAUGUUACAAUAAUAGAUCAUUAGCAACUGAAUUCUAUUCCAAAGUGUACCUUUUCUUUCCUUCUAAAACAUGAGAAAGUAAUUCUAUUCCGGGCACAACAUAGCCACUUCAUCUUACGGUCAAUCUAGGCUGACCAGCAGCCAUCUAAUAAUUACUUCAUUCCAAGUUCAAGUACAAAUACUUAACUGCCUUCCUUCUUAUUGCCUAGGCAUAAUCAACUUAUGGUAUUCGGAUUCACCGCUCAACGGGUAUUUUACUUACUGGUCUAUCCACCCCUAAUCUCGUCAUGGCAGCUCACUCUGUCGGCAUAACCAUGCGAUCUUUAAUCCUUAGGUCUUUACAAUAGGUUAUAGCCUCAAAUUUCCAAUUCCUAUCCUAUUGCUAACUUCCAGAAUUACUAAUCAGUUCUAAACGUACUUUAAUCUUAAGACAACCGGUUUGUCUAGGGAUUCGUUCCUUGCUCUCUGUAAUUCAGUGCUUAUUAAGGGAUCAUUAUCAAUAAGUGUUACUAAGAUAAAAUAUACAUGUAAGUUACAGCUCCAUAAAUACAUAAGCUACUUAUAUUAAUUUGUACAUCAUUAAUUGUUGAAUUGUGAAUCUAUUUACAAGUGACUAAAUCUUAUGCAAGUAAUAGCAUCAGAUCGUAUUUACUUUGUUCAUAAAUAUGACGAAUAUAUUUAAAGUACAACUAUAUAGAAUACAAUUAUUAAAUAUACAAAUGUUCAAUAUAUAUAAGUUACAACUGCUUUACAUGUAGAUAGAUAUAUUCUUAAACUACUAGGUACAGGUGACAGACUAAGUUACUGAGGCCCUCAGCCUCGUCCUCCAGAAAUUCAUAUUACUAGUAAUGUAUUAGGUCACACAGCAGAUAUGGUCUAUAGUCUAGAGUAAAAAUCGAUAAUAAAAGAGAAAAU